CAUCCGAUGCUAUUCUAGAGAUAGAAAGUUACUUCGGUACAUCGGUGACAGGUGGUGCAUGGUUGUCGUCAGCUCGUGUCGUGAGAUGUUGGGUUAAGUCCCGCAACGAGCGCAACCCCUAUUGUUAGUUGCCAUCAUUCAGUUGGGCACUCUAGCGAGACUGCCGGUAAUAAACCGGAGGAGGGUGGGGAUGACGUCAAAUCAUCAUGCCCCUUAUGACCUGGGCUACACACGUGCUACAAUGGUUGGUACAACGAGUUGCGAGUCGGUGACGGCGAGCUAAUCUCUUAAAGCCAAUCUCAGUUCGGAUUGUAGGCUGCAACUCGCCUACAUGAAGUCGGAAUCGCUAGUAAUCGCGGAUCAGCACGCCGCGGUGAAUACGUUCCCGGGCCUU
rnacentral:rRNA from 1 species